ACGUACGCUGGCGGCACGCCUAACACAUGCAAGUCGAACGAAGUAGCAAUACUUAGUGGCAGACGGGUGAGUAACAUGUGGGUAUCUACCCUUUGGCCUGGAAUAACACGAGGAAACUUGUGCUAAUACCGGAUAAGUCUUUACGGAGAAAGCUUUAUGCACCAUUGGAUGAGCCCGCACUUGAUUAGUUUGUUGGUAGGGUAAUGGCCUACCAAGACUAUGAUCAAUAGCUGAUUUGAGAGGAUGAUCAGCCACAUUGGGACUGAGACACGGCCCAAACUCCUACGGGAGGCAGCAGUGGGGAAUCUUGCACAAUGGAGGAAACUCUGAUGCAGCGAUGCCGCGUGAGUGAAGAAGGCCUUUGGGUUGUAAAGCUCUUUCGUCGGGGAAGAAAAUGACUGUACCCGAAUAAGAAGGUCCGGCUAACUUCGUGCCAGCAGCCGCGGUAAUACGAAGGGACCUAGCGUAGUUCGGAAUUACUGGGCUUAAAGAGUUCGUAGGUGGUUGAAAAAGUUGGUGGUGAAAUCCCAGAGCUUAACUCUGGAACUGCCAUCAAAACUUUUCAGCUAGAGUAUGAUAGAGGAAAGCAGAAUUUCUAGUGUAGAGGUGAAAUUCGUAGAUAUUAGAAAGAAUACCAAUUGCGAAGGCAGCUUUCUGGAUCAUUACUGACACUGAGGAACGAAAGCAUGGGUAGCGAAGAGGAUUAGAUACCCUCGUAGUCCAUGCCGUAAACGAUGUGUGUUAGACGUUGGAAAUUUAUUUUCAGUGUCGCAGGGAAACCGAUAAACACACCGCCU
rnacentral:rRNA from 1 species